rnacentral:tRNA from 1 species
GUUUAUAUAGUUUAAGAAAAACAUUACAUUUUCAUUGUAAAAUUAAAUAAUUUUUUUGUAAAUA